GAACAAAAUGAGUAACAAAGCAUUUGUCUCAUUAGAGUAUACACACUCUGUAUUUACUGUCACAGAUUUUCUACAGUUGGAGAAGGGGAGGCUUUUUACAAAUGGAAAAUGAAUCACAGAAUGGUUGAGGACAAACAUGACAUACUCAGAGAAUAGAAAGAAAACAUGGAAGCAGAGUGGAACUAUAUAUUUUGUGGAAGGUGGAGAAAAGUAGCCUUGUAGGAAAAAG
rnacentral:lncRNA from 1 species